rnacentral:rRNA from 1 species
CCCUUAGAUGUUCUGGGCUGCACGCGCGCUACACUGAUGCGCUCAACGAGUUUUAACCUUGCCUGGAAAGGUUGGGUAAUCUUUUUAAAACGCAUCGUGAUGGGGAUAGAUUAUUGCAAUUAUUAAUCUUCAACGAGGAAUUCCUAGUAAGCGCGAGUCAUCAGCUCGUGCUGAUUACGUCCCUGCCCUUGUACACACCGCCCGUCGCACCUACCGAUUGAAUGGUCCGGUGAAAUCUUUGGACUGUGGCAUUGUGGAUCUUCGGAUUUACGUUGCUGUGGGAAGUUGAUUAAACCUUACCAUUUAGAGGAAGGUGAAGUCGUAACA